CUCGUAGGCGGUUUGUCGCGUCUGCUGUGAAAUCCGGAGGCUCAACCUCCGGCCUGCAGUGGGUACGGGCAGACUAGAGUGCGGUAGGGGAGAUUGGAAUUCCUGGUGUAGCGGUGGAAUGCGCAGAUAUCAGGAGGAACACCAAUGGCGAAGGCAGAUCUCUGGGCCGUAACUGACGCUGAAGAGCGAAAGCAGUGGGGAGCGAACA
rnacentral:rRNA from 1 species